rnacentral:rRNA from 1 species
GGAGCAAGCGUUGUUCGGAUUUACUGGGCGUAAAGGGCGCGUAGGCGGUCGUGACAAGUCACUUGUGAAAUCUCCGGGCUUAACUCGGAAAGGUCAACUGAUACUGUGCGACUAGAGUGCAGAAGGGGCAACUGGAAUUCUCGGUGUAGCGGUGAAAUGCGUAGAUAUCGAGAGGAACACCUGCGGCGAAGGCGGGUAGCUGGGCCGACACUGACGCUGAGGCGCGAAAGCUAGGGGAGCGAACGGG